rnacentral:rRNA from 1 species
GGGCCCGCACAAGCGGUGGAGCAUGUGGUUUAAUUCGAUGCAACGCGAAGAACCUUACCAAGGCUUGACAUACUACAAAUUUCUUUGAAAGAGAAGCCUCCUUCGGGAUGGAAUUACAGGUGGUGCAUGGCUGUCGUCAGCUCGUGUUGUGAAAUGUCAAGUUAAGUCUUGUAACGAGCGCAACCCAUGUCUCUUGUUGCUGUUUACAGUGCUUAAGAGAAACUGCCGAUCAACAUCGGAGGAAGGUGUGGAUGAUGUCAAGUCAGCAUGCCCCUUACAUCCUGGGCUACACACGUACUACAAUGGUCGAGACAAAGGGUCGCUAACCUGCAAAGGCAUGCCAAUCUCAUAAACUCGAUCUCAGUUCGGAUUGUACUCUGCAACUCGAGUACAUGAAGGUGGAAUCGCUAGUAAUCGC